rnacentral:rRNA from 1 species
GACAGAGGGUGCAAACGUUGCUCGGAAUCACUGGGCGUAAAGGGCGUGUAGGCGGGAAGGCUAGUCAGAUGUGAAAUCCCUGGGCUCAACCCAGGAACUGCAUUUGAAACUCCCUUUCUUGAGUGUCGGAGAGGAAAGCGGAAUUCCUGGUGUAGAGGUGAAAUUCGUAGAUAUCAGGAGGAACACCGGUGGCGAAGGCGGCUUUCUGGACGACAACUGACGCUGAGACGCGAAAGCGUGGGGAGCAAACAGG